GCAGUUGUGUUUGCAUGGCUGUGUUUCGGUUUGAAGGAUAGGAUAUGGCGUGAAUUUACAGGGUACAGAGGAAUAACACCUGAGUCCUCAGGAAUGGCAACGCAUGGGGGGUAUCAUGGGCGAAACAGUAUACUCUGUUAUGUCCAUGAUACUGCUCAUGUCUAUAGGCGACGGUUAUCACUUUCCAUCAGGUGGGCCGUCAGCUUGUUUGCCAUUCUAAGUCGUAUAAAAAAAAAAUAAAGAACUUUUAUGAGUAUUAUUUAUUACAUCUGUGUAUACUGUUUUCCUUAGAUUAAUAAGAUGUGAAGAUUAAAAAAAAAAAAAAGAAAAACUUAACAGUAGACAGUUACUGGCUGGUAUAAUAAUAAUACUGGUAUAAUUUUAGGCCAAAACAUCGCAAUUUGAGCACCAAAGUUGUUAUAAGGAAACAACGUAGAAAAAGACAGAAAAUCUUGGCGAAAGAUCUAUUUUUGGAUUAUGCGAAAAAUACGACAUUGCACGGACUGCGAUAUGUAGCGCAGAAUGGACUUAGCGUCAUCGAGAAAUUGUUCUGGCUGCUAACCUUCAUAUUAAGCGUGGCGCUGUGUUUUCUAUUAAUACGCAAUGUUUGGAUGAAAUGGCAAACGAGUCCUGUCAUAGUCAGUUUCAGUGAAAAAUUCGUGCCUGUCGAAAUGGUCCCCUUCCCGUCUGUGACAAUAUGUCCGGACAUAAAAAAUCGGGCAUCGGUAUAUAAUCAUUCGUCUGAAGUCUCGAUGUUGAACCACGAGAACAAUUCUUACAUUGAACAGUAUGUCACCAUUACCACCAACCACUCUUUUAUUACAAACUGCGACAUGCAAUGUAUAAUUAUUUUGUUUCAUCAUCAUCAAUCAUAUGAGCCGUUGACUAUCCAUUGUUGAACCA